rnacentral:rRNA from 1 species
UACGAAGGGGGCUAGCGUUGUUCGGAAUCACUGGGCGUAAAGCGCACGUAGGCGGAUCUUUAAGUCAGGGGUGAAAUCCCGGGGCUCAACCUCGGAACUGCCUUUGAUACUGGGGAUCUCGAGUCCGGGAGAGGUGAGUGGAAUUGCGAGUGUAGAGGUGAAAUUCGUAGAUAUUCGGAAGAACACCAGUGGCGAAGGCGGCUCACUGGUCCGGUACUGACGCUGAGGUGCGAAAGCGUGGGGAGCAAACAGG